UAAAUUCAAAGAUUGUCACCCCCAAUCAAACGCGCAUGUUAUCUCUUGCCUGAGCCAUCAGCCUCCACUGUGGAUAGGAUCAUUCUGCAGCGCCAUGAACCUUCUCCUGCUAGUCGGUCUGCAAGCAGUCCAAGUCGACCCCGGGUUAGGAGGUAAAGGGAGGGCAUUCUUCCUCUUCUGUGGAAAGCUUGCUUCAUAGAACUGUAUGCGAUCAUCAUAGCAGGACAGAUGGUUACUUGAAUCAAGAUCAGUUGGUUUUGUUAGACUUCUGUUUUUCUUGUAUGACACAGCCUAAGUAAGAUGAAUUGCAGUUUGUUUGAAACUUUUAUGCAUUUGCUAUCUGUAUCUCAACAAAUGCAACCUCAAAUUCCGCUUGGUGAAAACUGAAUUGCAAGCAAACCGUUAAUCUUA